rnacentral:rRNA from 1 species
GACGAACGCUGGCGGCGUGCUUAACACAUGCAAGUCGAACGGAAAGGCCCUGCUUUUGUGGGGUGCUCGAGUGGCGAACGGGUGAGUAACACGUGAGUAACCUGCCCUUGACUUUGGGAUAACUUCAGGAAACUGGGGCUCAUACCGGAUAUGAGCUCCUGCUGCAUGGUGGGGGUUGGAAAGUUUCGGCGGUUGGGGAUGGACUCGCGGCUUAUCAGCUUGUUGGUGGGGUAGUGGCUUACCAAGGCUUUGACGGGUAGCCGGCCUGAGAGGGUGACCGGCCACAUUGGGACUGAGAUACGGCCCAGACUCCUACGGGAGGCAGCAGUGGGGAAUAUUGCACAAUGGGCGGAAGCCUGAUGCAGCAACGCCGCGUGCGGGAUGACGGCCUUCGGGUGGUAAACCGCUGUCGCCUGUGACGAAGCGUGAGUGACGGUAAUGGGUAAAGAAGCACCGGCUAACUACGUG